rnacentral:rRNA from 1 species
GUGCACGCUGGCGGUAGGCCUAACCCCUGCCAGUCGAACGGCAGCACCGUAAGAGCUUGCUCUUACGGGUGGCGAGUGGCGGACGGGUGAGGAAUACAUCGGAAUCUACUUUUUCGUGGGGGAUAACGUAGGGAAACUUACGCUAAUACCGCAUACGACCUACGGGUGAAAGCAGGGGAUCUUCGGACCUUGCGCGAUUGGAUGAGCCGAUGUCGGAUUAGCUAGUUGGCGGGGUAAAGGCCCACCAAGGCGACGAUCCGUAGCUGGUCUGAGAGGAUGAUCAGCCACACUGGAACUGAGACACGGUCCAGACUCCUACGGGAGGCAGCAGUGGGGAAUAUUGGACAAUGGGCGCAAGCCUGAUCCAGCCAUACCGCGUGGGUGAAGAAGGCCUUCGGGUUGUAAAGCCCUUUUGUUGGGAAAGAAAAGCAGCAGGUUAAUACCCCGCUGUUCUGACGGUACCCAAAGAAUAAGCACCGGCUAACUUCGUG